GUGGGGAAUAUUGCACAAUGGGCGGAAGCCUGAUGCAGCGACGCCGCGUGAGGGAUGACGGCCUUCGGGUUGUAAACCUCUUUCAGCUCCGACGAAGCGAAAGUGACGGUAGGGGCAGAAGAAGCGCCGGCCAACUACGUGCCAGCAGCCGCGGUAAGACGUAGGGCGCGAGCGUUGUCCGGAUUUAUUGGGCGUAAAGAGCUCGUAGGCGGCUUGUCGCGUCGACUGUGAAAACCCGUGGCUCAACCAUGUGGUCUGCAGUCGAUACGGGCAGGCUAGAAUUCGGUAGGGGAGACUGGAAUUCCUGGUGUAGCGGUGAAAUGCGCAGAUAUCAGGAGGAACACCGGUGGCGAAGGCGGGUCUCUGGGCCGAUAUUGACGCUGAGGAGCGAAAGCGUGGGGAGCGAACAGGAUUAGAUACCCGUGUAGUCC
rnacentral:rRNA from 1 species